rnacentral:rRNA from 1 species
UACGGAGGGGGCAAGCGUUGUUCGGAUUUACUGGGCGUAAAGGGUGUGUAGGCGGCGCGGUAAGUCACUUGUGAAAUCUCUGAGCUUAACUCAGAACGGCCAAGUGAUACUGCAGUGCUAGAGUGUGGAAGGGGCAAUCGGAAUUCUUGGUGUAGCGGUGAAAUGCGUAGAUAUCAAGAGGAACACCUGAGGUGAAGACGGGUUGCUGGGCCAACACUGACGCUGAGGCGCGAAAGCCAGGGGAGCAAACGGG